rnacentral:lncRNA from 1 species
UCACACUUUUCCCCACACCUACCCCUUCUUUCUCUUUCCUCAUGGUUCCUCCCUUUUUUUUUUCCAUUUUCUUACCCCCAAAACACCACUUUUUCCUUCAUUUUAUCUCAUUUUCUCAACCCUAAACACCAUUUUCUCUACAUUUUCUCUCAUUUUCUCAACCCCAAACACCCAUUUCUCUCCAUUUUCUCAAACCCCAAACACCCAUAUCUCUCUAUUUUCUCUCAUUUCUUUCCUUUUUCUCUUACAUUCUCUCUUAUUCCCACAUCUAUGUGUCCCCCUUUCUUAAUCUCAACAUUUCUAACAUAUAGAUCCACCCAUGACAAUCGUCAUGGAUGCUCAUCCUCGUCAUAGAUCCAACAUCAUGGCUAAGACUCCAUCCAUGACACAACCGGCGACCACACUUCAUGAAUGCUUGGAUCUCAUAACGUCAUAGUCUCGAUGUAGCCACCACAUCUUCUCCAUCUUACUUUGUAUCUCAUUAUGGAAUAAAUAGAUUUGAAUGCAAUUAGGUUUUCAUUUUUUUAGUUUUUUGGUUGAUUAUUGUGUAGUUGGACAUGGAUGUAUUGGGAUUUUGAUAAAUUAGUUUUAAUGGAAAGACUUUGUGAUUUAAUUAAAUUUGUUUGGUUGGUACCUUGGCUUACAACCUAGGUAAUGUUUGAUUUUCUAUGGAUUAAUUAAGCUUUAUUUGGG